UUGGAGGGCAAGUCUGGUGCCAGCAGCCGCGGUAAUUCCAGCUCCAAUAGCGUAUAUUAAAGUUGUUGCAGUUAAAAAGCUCGUAGUUGAAUUUCGGGAUUAGUACGUUGGUCGUGCCUUCGGUACGUACUGGUGUUACUGAUUCCUACCUUCUGACGAACCAUCAUGUCAUUAAUUUGGUGUGGCGGGGAAUCAGGACUGUUACUUUGAAAAAAUUAGAGUGUUUAAAGCAGGCUCGCGCUUGAAUACAUUAGCAUGGAAUAAUGAAAUAGGACGUUGACCCUAUUUUGUUGGUUUCUAGGAUUGACGUAAUGAUUAAUAGGGAUAGUUGGGUGCAUUAGUAUUCAAUUGUCAGAGGUGAAAUUCUUGGAUUUAUUGAAGACUAACUACUGCGAAAGCAUUUGCCAAGGAUGUUUUCAUUAAUCAAGAACGAAAGUUAGGGGAUCGAAGACGAUCAGAUACCGUCGUAGUCUUAACCAUAAACUAUGCCGACUAGGGAUCGGAUGAUGUUAUUUUUAAUGACUCAUUCGGCGCCUUACGGGAAAC
rnacentral:rRNA from 1 species